AGUUGUCGGUGUAGUAGUAGUUGUCGGUGUAGUAGUAGUUGUCGGUGUAGUAGUAGUUGUUGGUGUUGUUGUUGUUGGUAAUGUUGUUGUUGGCGUAGUAGUAGUUGUUGGUGUAGUGGUGGUUGUCGAGGUGGUAGUGGUUGUUGGCGUUGUAGUGGUUGUCGAGGUUGUUGGCGUUGUAGUGGUUGUUGGUGUUGUAGUGGUUGUAGGCGUAGUUGUGGUUGUUGUUGUUGUAGUGGUUGGUGGAGUAGUAGUUGUUGGUGUUGUUG